rnacentral:rRNA from 1 species
AAUUGCUACCACACCACCCUGUAUAUUCCAGAUCUUGUCUAGUUUCAGAAGACACGCAGGGUCAGGCUUGCUUAGUACUUCGCUGGGAGACCAGAAACAUCAGGGACCUGCAGGCA